rnacentral:rRNA from 1 species
AACGAACGCUGGCGGCAUGCCUAACACAUGCAAGUCGAACGAGGCCUUCGGGCUUAGUGGCGCACGGGUGCGUAACGCGUGGGAAUCUGCCCUUGGGUUCGGAAUAACAGUUAGAAAUGACUGCUAAUACCGGAUGAUGUCUUCGGACCAAAGAUUUAUCGCCCAAGGAUGAGCCCGCGUAGGAUUAGGUAGUUGGUGGGGUAAUGGCCCACCAAGCCGACGAUCCUUAGCUGGUCUGAGAGGAUGAUCAGCCACACUGGGACUGAGACACGGCACAGACUCCUACGGGAGGCAGCAGUGGGGAAUAUUGGACAAUGGGCGAAAGCCUGAUCCAGCAAUGCCGCGUGAGUGAUGAAGGCCUUAGGGUUGUAAAGCUCUUUUACCAGGGAUGAUAAUGACAGUACCUGGAGAAUAAGCUCCGGCUAACUCCGUGCCAGCCGCCGCGGUAA